GAUGAAGAACGUAGCGAAAUGCGAUAAGUAGUGUGAAUUGCAGAAUUCAGUGAAUCAUCGAAUCUUUGAACGCACAUUGCGCCCCUUGGUAUUCCAUGGGGCAUGCCUGUUCGAGCGUCAUUUGUACCUUCAAGCUCUGCUUGGUGUUGGGUGUUUGUUCCGCCUCUGUGUGUGAACUCGCCUCAAAACAAUUGGCAGCCGGCGUACUUGUUUCGGAGCGCAGCACAUUUUGCGAUCCAGAUCAACGUACAGCGGCAUCCAAGAAGCCUUAUUUAACGCUCUUGACCUCGGAUCAGGUAGGGAUACCCGCUGAACUUAAGAAUAUCAAUAAGCGGAGGA
rnacentral:misc_RNA from 1 species